rnacentral:rRNA from 1 species
CUAUGACGGGUAACGGGGAAUUAGGGUUCGAUUCCGGAGAGGGAGCCUGAGAAACGGCUACCACAUCUAAGGAAGGCAGCAGGCGCGCAAAUUACCCAAUCCUAAUACAGGGAGGUAGUGACAAGAAAUAACAAUACAGAACCUUACGGUUUUGUAAUUGGAAUGAGUUAAGUAUAAACCCCUUAACAAGUAUCAAUUGGAGGGCAAGUCUGGUGCCAGCAGCCGCGGUAAUUCCAGCUCCAAUAGCGUAUAUUAAAGUUGUUGCAGUUAAAAAGCUCGUAGUUAAUCUUCUGUUAAUUUUUAUAUAUAAUAUCACGAUAUUUAUAUAAUAUUAACAUAAUUCAUAUUACUUUUUAGUAUAUGAAACUUUACUUUGAGAAAAUUAGAGUGCUUAAAGCAGGCUAUUGCCUUGAAUACUCCAGCAUGGAAUAAUAUUA